GACGAACGCUGGCGGCGUGCUUAACACAUGCAAGUCGAACGGAAAGGCCCUGCUUUUGUGGGGUGCUCGAGUGGCGAACGGGUGAGUAACACGUGAGUAACCUGCCCUUGACUUUGGGAUAACUUCAGGAAACUGGGGCUAAUACCGGCUAGGAGCUCCUGCUGCAUGGUGGGGGUUGGAAAGUUUCGGCGGUUGGGGAUGGACUCGCGGCUUAUCAGCUUGUUGGUUGGGUAGUGGCUUACCAAGGCUUUGACGGGUAGCCGGCCUGAGAGGGUGACCGGCCACAUUGGGACUGAGAUACGGCACAGACUCCUACGGGAGGCAGCAGUGGGGAAUAUUGCACAAUGGGCGGAAGCCUGAUGCAGCAACGCCGCGUGCGGGAUGACGGCCUUCGGGUUGUAAACCGCUUUCGCCUGUGACGAAGCGUGAGUGACGGUAAUGGGUAAAGAAGCACCGGCUAACUACGUG
rnacentral:rRNA from 1 species